GAUGAACGCUGGCGGCGUGCCCAACACAUGCAAGUCGAGCGGCAGCGCGGGGUGCUUGCACCCUGUCGGCGAGCGGCGGACGGCUGAGUAACGCGUGGGAACGUGCCCCAAAGUGAGGAAUAACUGCCCGAAAGGGUAGCUAAUACCGCAUAUUAUCUUCGGAUCAAAGGAUUUAUCCGCUUUGGGAGCGGCUCGCGUCGGAUUAGGUAGUUGGUGAGGUAAUGGCUCACCAAGCCGACGAUCCGUAGCUGGUCUGAGAGGAUGACCAGCCAGACUGGAACUGAGACACGGUCCAGACUCCUACGGGAGGCAGCAGUGAGGAAUCUUCCACAAUGGGCGAAAGCCUGAUGGAGCAACGCCGCGUGCAGGACGAAGGCCUUCGGGUUGUAAACUGCUUUUAUAAGUGAGGAAUAUGACGGUAACUUAUGAAUAAGGAGCGGCUAACUACGUG
rnacentral:rRNA from 1 species